rnacentral:rRNA from 1 species
UUAUUUGAGAGUUUGAUCCUGGCUCAGGAUGAACGCUGGCGGCGUGCCUAACACAUGCAAGUUGAGCGAUUUACUUCGGUAAAGAGCGGCGGACGGGUGAGUAACGCGUGGGUAACCUACCCUGUACACACGGAUAACAUACCGAAAGGUAUGCUAAUACGGGAUAAUAUAUUUGAGAGGCAUCUCUUAAAUAUCAAAGGUGAGC